rnacentral:rRNA from 1 species
AGAGUUUGAUCAUGGCUCAGGACGAACGCUGGCGGCGUGCUUAACACAUGCAAGUCGAACGAUGAUGCCCAGCUUGCUGGGCGGAUUAGUGGCGAACGGGUGAGUAACACGUGAGUAACCUGCCCUUGACUUCGGGAUAACUCCGGGAAACCGGGGCUAAUACCGGAUAUGAGCCGCCUUCGCAUGGGGGUGGUUGGAAAGUUUUUCGGUCAGGGGUGGGCUCGCGGCCUAUCAGCUUGUUGGUGGGGUGAUGGCCUACCAAGGCGACGACGGGUAGCCGGCCUGAGAGGGCGACCGGCCACACUGGGACUGAGACACGGCCCAGACUCCUACGGGAGGCAGCAGUGGGGAAUAUUGCACAAUGGGCGAAAGCCUGAUGCAGCGACGCCGCGUGAGGGAUGAAGGCCUUCGGGUUGUAAACCUCUUUCAGCAGGGAAGAAGCGCAAGUGACGGUACCUGCAGAAGAAGCGCCGGCUAACUACGUGCCAGCAGCCGCGGUAAUACGUAGGGCGCAAGCGUUGUCC